rnacentral:rRNA from 1 species
AAUAGAUACCCCAGGUAGUCCACGCCGUAAACGAUGGACACUUGGUGUUGGAGGUAUUGACCCCGUUCAGUGCCGAAGCUAACGCGUUAAGUGUCCCGCCUGGGGAGUACGGCCGCAAGGUUAAAACUCAAAGAAAUUGACGGGGGCCCGCGACAAGCGGUGGAGCAUGUGGUUUAAUUCGAUGCAACGCGAAGAACCUUACCUGGGCUUGACAUCUAGUGGAAGGAUCUCAGAAAUGAGUCCGCCGUUCGGGCCGCUAGACAGGGUGCUGCAUGGCUGUCGUCAGCUCGUGUCGUGAGAUGUUGGGUUAAGUCCCGCAACGAGCGCAACCCUGUGUUUAGUUGCCAGCAUUCAGUUGGGCACUCUAAACAGACUGCCGACGUUAAGUCGGAGGAAGGUGGGGAUGACGUCAAGUCCUCAUGGCCCUUAUGUCCAGGGCUACACACGUGCUACAAUGGUCGGUACAAAGGGAAGCAAGACUGCGAAGUGGAGCAAAUCCCAAAAAGCCGAUCCAAGUUCGGAUUGGAGUCUGAAACUCGACUCC